rnacentral:tRNA from 1 species
UGCACCUUAGUUUAAAUAGAACAGUUAAUUUGCACUUAACAAGAGAUUAUUCAGUAGC